GGGGGAGCAAUCCCCUGAGUAGAGCGGCGAACGGGUGAGUAACGCGUGGGUAAUCUGCCCCUCAGCCUGGGAUAACACCUCGAAAGAGGUGCUAAUACCGGAUGACAUCAGCCCGGCGCAUGCCGGGCUGAUCAAUGGCGGCCUCUGCAUGCAUGCUGUCACUGGGGGAUGAGCCUGCGUCCGAUUAGCUAGUUGGUGGGGUAACGGCCCACCAAGGCGACGAUCGGUAGCCGGCCUGAGAGGGUGACCGGCCACACUGGGACUGAGAUACGGCCCAGACUCCUACGGGAGGCAGCAGUGGGGAAUAUUGCGCAAUGGGCGAAAGCCUGACGCAGCGACGCCGCGUGGGGGAUGACGGCCUUCGGGUUGUAAACCCCUGUCGGGUGGAACGAACAAGCUCGGUGCGAAUACCACCGGGCCCUGACGGUACCACCGAAGGAAGCCCCGGCUAACUACGUGCCAGCAGCCGCGGUAAUACGUAGGGGGCGAGCGUUGUUCGGAUUUACUGGGCGUAAAGAGCGCGUAGGCGGCCGGACAAGUCCGUUGUGAAAUCCCCCGGCUCAACCGGGGACCCGCUUCGGAAACUAUCCGGCUUGAGUCGCGGAGAGGAGAGCGGAAUUCCCAGUGUAGCGGUGAAAUGCGUAGAUAUUGGGAGGAACACCGGUGGCGAAGGCGGCUCUC
rnacentral:rRNA from 1 species